rnacentral:rRNA from 1 species
UACGUAGGGAGCAAGCGUUGUCCGGAAUCAUUGGGCGUAAAGCGCGCGUAGGUGGCUUCGUAAGUCCGUUGUGAAAGUCAAAGGCUCAACCUUUGAAAGCCGAUGGAUACUGCUGAGCUAGAGUACGGAAGAGGCGAGUGGAAUUCCUGGUGUAGCGGUGGAAUGCGCAGAUAUCAGGAGGAACACCAAUAGCGAAGGCAGCUCGCUGGGACGUUACUGACACUGAGGCGCGAAAGCGUGGGGAGCGAACAGG